rnacentral:rRNA from 1 species
UACGUAGGUGGCAAGCGUUAUCCGGAAUUAUUGGGCGUAAAGCGCUCGCAGGCGGUUUCUUAAGUCUGAUGUGAAAGCCCACGGCUCAACCGUGGAGGGUCAUUGGAAACUGGGAGACUUGAGUGCAGAAGAGGAGAGUGGAAUUCCACGUGUAGCGGUGAAAUGCGUAGAGAUGUGGAGGAACACCAGUGGCGAAGGCGACUCUCUGGUCUGUAACUGACGCUGAGGAGCGAAAGCGUGGGGAGCAAACAGGG